rnacentral:tRNA from 1 species
AAAGGAGAAUGGUCGGGAUAGCUCAGC